rnacentral:rRNA from 1 species
ACGUACACUCCUGCGGGAGGCAGCAGUGGGGAAUAUUGCACAAUGGGCGCAAGCCUGAUGCAGCCAUGCCGCGUGUAUGAAGAAGGCCUUCGGGUUGUAAAGUACUUUCAGCGGGGAGGAAGGCGAUAAGGUUAAUAACCUUGUCGAUUGACGUUACCCGCAGAAGAAGCACCGGCUAACUCCGUGCCAGCAGCCGCGGUAAUACGGAGGGUGCAAGCGUUAAUCGGAAUUACUGGGCGUAAAGCGCACGCAGGCGGUCUGUCAAGUCGGAUGUGAAAUCCCCGGGCUCAACCUGGGAACUGCAUUCGAAACUGGCAGUCUAGAGUCUUGUAGAGGGGGGUAGAAUUCCAGGUGUAGCGGUGAAAGGCGUAGAGAUCUGGAGGAAUACCGGUGGCGAAGGCGGCCCCCUGGACAAAGACUGACGCUCAGGUGCGAAAGCGUGGGGAGCAAACAGGAUUAGAAACCCCGGUAGUCCC